rnacentral:rRNA from 1 species
UACAGAGGUGGCAAGCGUUGUUCGGAAUUACUGGGCGUAAAGGGCGCGUAGGCGGUCUUUUAAGUCUUGUGUGAAAUCCCUCGGCUCAACUGAGGAACUGCACGGGAUACUGGAAGACUUGAGUUUGGGAGAGGGAUGCGGAAUUCCAGGUGUAGCGGUGAAAUGCGUAGAUAUCUGGAGGAACACCGGUGGCGAAGGCGGCAUCCUGGACCAAUACUGACGCUGAGGAGCGAAAGCCAGGGGAGCAAACGGG